GGAGAGGAUGAAUCUGCAGCACCAGUGUCUGCAAUCCAUCCUGCCUGUCAGCUGAAUACUGGACAACACAGACAUACACUGGCACCUUUUUCCCUACCUGCAAUUGGCUGUUAUCUGUGACUGUCCCAUAGCUGAGAGCACACAGGUGACGUAUAGGACGCUUCUUCUUCCAGUCCCACCUCUCCUCCGCAUACUUGCUUAAACCCCCACCCCCCUCAGCAGUCCAGACACGGGAAAAAAAAAAACAGAAAAGAAAACAUACGCGGCCCUUGGGGUGAGCUCUUCAGACUGAAGAAAAUGAUCUGUUUAUCGUCUGCUACUGUGCGCACAGAGGAUCUUGCGGGAGGAAACCCCUUUUUAAACUGCAAAGAGAAUGUUGGGCGGAAACUUGUCACCGGUCUGGUCGAUCCCAAGAGUGAGUUACAAACAUCAAGGGAGGGCACAUCCUUGGGAUAGUAAAAGACUUUGACGGUUCUCUGUUCUGGGCCAAAGCUUUGGAUAAUGGAAGGACUUCAUCCUUCCUGGAGGCAACCCCAGAGCCUGAUGUAACUAAUUUGAACUUUGAGCCUUUGACAGCUGAGAUCACGGAGGAUGAAGUCAAAGUUGCCAUCGACUGCCUCACUAAAAAGAAGGCUCCAGGACCAGAUGGCCUUACAGCCAAAUGUUAUAAGAAAUUUAAAGAUCAGCUGGCUCCGGUUCUCAUAUGUAAAACCCUGCUUCAUGUCAAUAAACCAUAUUCAUAAUAAUAUA